AGGGUGACAGGUGGUGCAUGGUUGUCGUCAGCUCGUGUCGUGAGAUGUUGGGUUAAGUCCCGCAACGAGCGCAACCCUCGACCUUAGUUGCCAGCAUUCAGUUGGGCACUCUAAGGUGACUGCCGGCUAAAAGUCGGAGGAAGGUGGGGAUGACGUCAAAUCAUCAUGCCCCUUAUGACCUGGGCUACACACGUGCUACAAUGGGCGGUACAAAGGGUCGCGAACCCGCGAGGGGGGAGCCAAUCCCAAAAAGCCGCUCUCAGUUCGGAUUGCAGGCUGCAACUCGCCUGCAUGAAGCCGGAAUCGCUAGUAAUCGCGGAUCAGCAUGCCGCGGUGAAUACGUUCCCGGGCCUU
rnacentral:rRNA from 1 species